rnacentral:tRNA from 1 species
GGGGGUAUAGCUCAGAUGGGAGAGCACCUGCCUUGCAAGCAGGGGGUCGUGAGUUCGAAUCUCACUAUCUCCA